UAGAAUAGGAAGCGACGGAAAUUUGCAAGGUGUCGGCUUAUUUAUCAACGUUCAACCGCAUACAGGACACGUGUUGUUUUAUCGUGCAUAAAGAAUAGCCCAGCUGCGCGAGCUGGUAUACGCGAGGGAGAUGAGCUAAUGGAAAUAAACGGUAAAAGACUCGACGGAGUGGCAAGUGAAGCAGCUGCACAAAAGCUCAGGGGACAUGUCGGAACAAC